ACAAAUUAGCUUUGAGAACAAUAGAAACAAUUGUUAUCGUGAAUAGACUCUUAAAAUUCCAUCAAACUAAUUGUGCGAAACAAGAUUUUAAACUUCGCCGCAAUCAUUACAUCAAACAGAGGAGCAUCCAGUUAGCACCGAGUGGACAUCUCAUAAGGUUUAAGUGGGUGUGCUCUUAAGAUGAAAGUCUUUGCCGCGCUCUUCGUAUUGGCCCUCGUAGUGUCAAUCAACGCUCAUUACGGAGAUAAACCGGAAGUCAGUGACAAUGCUUUGCCUGAGCCUAAAACCGCUGACACUGUAAAUAAAGAGGGUGACCUUACUGCUGGGGAUUCAACUCUCGAAAAACCGGAUGACGAGGAUAAAGAGCCGGAUGUUAAAGGCAAAGAAUUGGAUGACGAAAAGGAAGACCCGGAUGAUGAAGAUGAUGGCGUCUUUCGACGCCGCUCCAUCUCGCGACGCCGCUCCAUCUCGCGACGCCGCUCCAUCUCGCGACGCCGCUCCAUCUCUCGCCGCCGCUCUAUCUCUCGACGCCGCUCCAUCUCUCGCCGCAGAUCCAUCUCUCGACGCCGCUCCAUCUCUCGCCGCCGCUCGAUCUCCCGACGCCGCUCCAUCUCCCGACGCCGCUCCAUCUCCCGACGCCGCUCCAUCUCACGACGCCGCUCCAUCUCCCGCCGCCGCUCCAUCUCUCGCCGCCGCUCCAUCUCUCGACGCCGCUCCAUCUCCCGACGCCGCUCCAUCUCUCGACGCCGCUCCAUCUCUCGACGCCGCUCCAUCUCUCGCCGCCGCUCCAUCUCCAGACGCCGCUCCAUCUCCCGCCGCCGCUCCAUCUCUCGCCGCCGCUCCAUCUCUCGACGCCGCUCCAUCUCCCGACGCCGCUCCAUCUCUCGACGCCGCUCCAUCUCUCGACGCCGCUCCAUCUCUCGCCGCCGCUCCAUCUCUCGCCGCCGCUCCAUCUCUCGACGCCGCUCCAUCUCCCGACGCCGCUCCAUCUCUCGACGCCGCUCCAUCUCUCGACGCCGCUCCAUCUCUCGCCGCCGCCCGAUCUCCAGACGCCGCUCCAUCUCUCGACGCCGUUAUGGCAAGAAGUAAAACAAGAAUACGGAUCGGAUCGAAGGAAACUGGAAAUGGAUGAGCCAUGGAAGAACACACUUCAACACUGUAGCAAACUUGACCAUAUAGAGUAAUCAACAGGAGAUAAAAACUUGCCUCUCAUAAAGAAAUGGUUUUGAAAUUUGAUGUAAUUUUCAUAGUUUGUCAAAAUAAAAGCGCAACAACAAAUAACCAAAACCCUUUGUAUUCCUAAAUCUUCUUCCCGAGAUAUUAUCAAGGAAGCAAAUGAAAACUCAGUGAUGUCUUCAAAGAGAUCAUAAGUCAAAAUUCCAAAGUUGCUAUCCAUCAUCCUUUCGCGCACGCCAGUAAGAUAUCGCAUUAAUAUUUUUUAAUAUUAUAUUGUAAUAUUCUAACAUAAUUAUGUGAUGAAAUCUCGUUUAAAGAAAUUAAAUUUUUGCACUGGUCUCGAACGACUUAACCACUUUUUUACAAUCAAGCUAGUAAAAGUCAAAUUUUUUAGAGGUAGGAAAUUCCACCGGGUCCUUGGUCGGACGUUUACUUUUAGAGUUGUUUGGAUUCAAUUCAGCAUAAAAUUGCGUUUUGAAACUUUCAUAAUUAGAUUAAGCAUCCGUGCGUAAAAAGAGCAGAAUAUAUAAAAUGCAUUGUUCAAUCAAUAAUCCCUUGAUUGUGUUUUUCUUUAAAAGAAUAAAGUUUGGCAAUAAAGCGCAUGAAGUGGGCGAAGAUGGACUCCUGCCAAAUAUGAGUAGGAAGGUUGUUGAUCGAUCCACAUGAGAGGGGCACCCAGUUGGCACCGUGUGGACAUCUCAUAAGAUUUAAGUGGGUGUGCUCUUAAGAUGAAAGUUUUUGCCGCGCUCUUCCUCUUGGCCCUCGUGGUGUCAAUCAACGCUAAUUCUGGAGAUCAACCGGAAGUCAGUGACAAUGCAAUGGAGCCUAAAACCGCUGACACAGUAGAAAAAGGGGGUGACGUUGUUGCAGGGGAUUCAACUUUUGAAAAACCGGGUGAAGAGGGUGAAGAGCCAGAUGAUGACGACGACGGUGACGACAAUGAACUUGAGGAGUCUGCGGUUCCUGAGACCGAUCCUAGCAAAGACCAGUAUGACGAUGACGGUGACGACAAUGAACUUGAAAAGUCUGAUAAAUCUUAUGUUACUGAAACUGAACCUAACAAAGAUCAGUCGCUAGAUGCAAAACCAUUUUUUUCUCAACGCCGCCGAUACAUCUCUCGACGCCGAUACAUCUCCCGACGCCGAUACAUCUCCCGACGCCGAUACAUCUCCCGACGCCGAUACAUCUCCCGACGGCGAUACAUCUCCCGACGCCGAUACAUCUCCCGACGCCGAUACAUCUCCCGACGGCGAUACAUCUCCCGACGCCGAUAUAUCUCCCGACGCCGAUACAUCUCCCGACGCCGAUACAUCUCUCGACGCCGAUACAUCUCUCGACGUCGAUACAUUUCUCGACGUCGAUUUAUCGCUCGUCGUCGCCGAUUUGGCAAGAAGUAAUUCUCAGAACCACAUUAGGUAAAACAAGAAUACGGAUCGGAUCGAAGGAAACUGGAAAUGGAUGAGCCAUGGAGAACACACUUCAACACUGUAGCAAACUUGGCCCAAUAGAGUAAUCAACAGGGGAUAAAAACUUGCCUCUCAUAAAGAAAGGGUUUUGAAAUUUGUACAACUCGAUGUAAUUUCCAUAGUGUGUCAAAAUAAAAGCGUUACGCUUGUUACGCCGCAAAAUGUAAUGAUCAACACAAAAUGAAGUCUUACCGCGAAAUGUAAUAACUGUCAACGCGAAAUGUAAUACCUUUCAACGCAAAAUGUAAUACAAGUUGAACGCUAAAUGUAAUAACUUUUUAACGCAAAAUGUAAUAAAAUAUUUAACGCGAAAUGUAAUAACUUUAUCUAUUGACUAAUAGUUCUAGCAAUAUUUGGUAAAUUAUGAAAUGUUAACACGUAGAGACAAACAGAAGGAAUCAUUUAUUAAAAGAAAGGCUGUGCGA